GACCUUGAAAUACCACCCUUUAAUGUUUGAUGUUCUAACGUUGACCCGUAAUCCGGGUUGCGGACAGUGUCUGGUGGGUAGUUUGACUGGGGCGGUCUCCUCCUAAAGAGUAACGGAGGAGCACGAAGGUUGGCUAAUCCUGGUCGGACAUCAGGAGGUUAGUGCAAUGGCAUAAGCCAGCUUGACUGCGAGCGUGACGGCGCGAGCAGGUGCGAAAGCAGGUCAUAGUGAUCCGGUGGUUCUGAAUGGAAGGGCCAUCGCUCAACGGAUAAAAGGUACUCCGGGGAUAACAGGCUGAUACCGCCCAAGAGUUCAUAUCGACGGCGGUGUUUGGCACCUCGAUGUCGGCUCAUCACAUCCUGGGGCUGAAGUAGGUCCCAAGGGUAUGGCUGUUCGCCAUUUAAAGUGGUACGCGAGCUGGGUUUAGAACGUCGUGAGACAGUUCGGUCCCUAUCUGCCGUGGGCGCUGGAGAACUGAGGGGGGCUGCUCCUAGUACGAGAGGACCGGAGUGGACGCAUCACUGGUGUUCGGGUUGUCAUGCCAAUGGCACUGCCCGGUAGCUAAAUGCGGAAGAGAUAAGUGCUGAAAGCAUCUAAGCACGAAACUUGCCCCGAGAUGAGUUCUCCCUGACUCCUUGAGAGUCCUGAAG
rnacentral:rRNA from 1 species